rnacentral:rRNA from 1 species
UACGUAGGUGGCAAGCGUUGUCCGGAUUUACUGGGCGUAAAGAGCGCGCAGGCGGUCGUUCAAGUCGAGUGUGAAAGCCCCCGGCUCAACUGGGAGAGGUCGCUCAAGACUGUCGGACUGGAGGGCAGGCGAGGGAGGUGGAAUUCCCGGUGUAGUGGUGAAAUGCGUAGAUAUCGGGAGGAACACCAGUGGCGAAAGCGAUCUACUGGGCUGUCACUGACACUGAGGAACGAAAGCGUGGGUAGCGAACGGG